CUGCCUAUCAGAGGGGAAUAACAGUGAGAAAUCACUGCUAAUACCGCAUAUGCCAUAGUUAUCGCAUGAUGAUAGUGGGAAAGAAGCAAUUCGCUGAUAGAUGAGCUUGCGGCUGAUUAGCUAGUUGGUGGGGUAACGGCCUACCAAGGCGACGAUCAGUAGCCGGACUGAGAGGUUGAACGGCCACAUUGGGACUGAGAUACGGCCCAGACUCCUACGGAAGGCAGCAG
rnacentral:rRNA from 1 species